ACGGCGCCUCACCGGCUUUUCACACGAAUGACCGGCCUCAGCGAGCCCCGGGCUGCUGGAACCCAGGGCUGGACCUCUCCGAGGAACAGCAGAGUCGCCUGGCCGGGCGUGAUGUCAGCCUGGGCACGGCUCACGCCCAGAUUAGCUCGGCGAGGCUGGGGCUGCGGGCGCACCUCGGAUGGGGCGAUGACCUUCCCGUUCUUCCCGAACAAACUGUCUCGAAUUUUGAUUUGAUGCGAAGUCUUCUGGAUUUGCCAAAUGAAAAGGUCUGGCAAGCCUGGAGUUUUCUUUCAUGAGUCUGUUGUGAGGAUGUCUGCCUGCUAUGGAGCUGUUCAAGCCUCACAGUAUGGGACGAUGUGUCAAGACCUAUGAAAGCUGUCCCUCAGUACCCACGGAGGACUGGUUCUGUGACCUUCAAGGAAAUCAGACUCUGAGAUGCUGCAGUCCCAUGUAUAGAGUGGAGCAGCAUUUGUGUGUAACUGAUGUUCAUCCUCCCAGAAGUCCUCCCUAGAGGAUGGACACACCUACCAUGAUGGAAUCACUACGGAAGAAGUUGUCAUCUGCAUUGCUUAGGGAGUGAUGGUAAGAAAAGGUCGACAUAUUCAGUACGAAGGGUCUCGCUGUGUAGCCCAGGUAAUC